GUACUGAUGCAGUCAUGUAAGAAAAUGGUCCCAUCCUCCCGGCUGCUUCUCGCACAUUGCCAUUAGAAACAUAUUGUAAAAGAGAGAGCGAGAGAGAUUUCCCUUCUAGCCUCAGGCUCCGUGGGUGGAGUCAGUAGGCAUCUCUAAGGUGCCAUCUGAGGGGGAAUCAGAAGCUUCCAUUCUCCAAACACCUUGUCAGUCUAGAUGACAUGAGAUGGUAAAAUGCCUACUUGAUACAAUGAAGAGAAGCGAACAACCCAGGCAUUGUGAUGUGGUGUUAGGCUACUACCGACUUUCUGAAGGAGGAGCAUCUGCUUCUGGAUGGUGUAUGACUUUGACUGCUGGUAACUGAAACCAGGAAAAGUGAAACCACAGGAACUUUUGUGGUUUCCUGGUGAGGCCAGAACACUGAGUCUGUCGCCUGCUUCCAUCUACAGAAAGUCUGAGUACUUGAUUAUCCUUGUCACUGUGUUCAUAUUGGCUAUAUCAGCAGGAAGCACUGGAGGAGUCGAAGAAGAGUGAGUCAAAUUGAAGAAUCCCCAAGAAGAAACCGAGACCAGAUCUCUUCAUGUUUUUAAUAUUUCCCAGCAGCGAUGGAACCACAUGAGAAAGAAAUAGAUACUGGUAGUAAUUUUGUAUUAGUGAUGGUGAUGGAGUACUGAAGGAAAAUCGCACUCAAAAUAUUAUGCUGUGAGUCAUGCAGUUUGGACUUAAGUUGUUGUGUGAGGGCAAAUGGGGUUCCAAAGGAUCUAUAAAUAGAAAAAUGAAUAUUGUUUUUGUAUUAGCCAUUUCCAAAGCUGUUGUUUUAUGCACUGACUUAUUCUCAGAGGUCAUUGCUAACAUUUGUUCAAUAA